CCCGUCACUGCAUCUGACCACUUCUCUGUUGGUGGUGCAAUCCAGUGGUGGGCUGAAACUAAGCCCCAGUUUAAGAAACAUAUUCUUAUUCUUCAUAUGGAUGACUCUGUGCUGAACACCUGGGAACAACC